GACAGAGGUCCCGAGCGUUAGGCGGAAUCACUGGGCUUAAAGCGUGUGUAGGCGGAUCCGUAAGUACCUUGUGAAAUCCCACGGCUUAACCGUGGAACUGCUUGGUAUACUGCGGGUCUUGAGCCACCUAGGGGCGAGCGGAACAAGUGGUGGAGCGGUGAAAUGCGUAGAUAUCACUUGGAACGCCAAUGGUGAAAACAGGUUGCUGGGAGUGUGCUGACGCUGAGACACGAAAGCCAGGGGAGCGAACGGG
rnacentral:rRNA from 1 species